UCUCAAGACUAAGCCAUGCAUGUCUAAGUAUGAACGCUUCGUACUGUGAAACUGCGAAUGGCUCAUUAAAUCAGUUAUAGUUUAUUUGAUGGUUGUUUGCUACAUGGAUAACCGUGGUAAUUCUAGAGCUAAUACAUGCAGAAGGUCCCGACUUCUGGGAGGGACGUAUUUAUUAGAUCCAAAACCAGCGCGGGUUGCCCUCGGGCUCCCGGUACCUGGAUGAUUCAUGAUAACUUCUCGAAUCGCACGGCCUUUGCGCCGGCGAUGGUCCAUUCAAAUUUCUGCCCUAUCAACUUUCGAUGGUACGGUAGUGGCCUACCAUGGUUGCAACGGGUGACGGAGAAUUAGGGUUCGAUUCCGGAGAGGGAGCCUGAGAAACGGCUACCACAUCCAAGGAAGGCAGCAGGCGCGCAAAUUACCCAAUCCCGACUCGGGGAGGUAGUGACAAUAAAUAACAAUGCCGGGCUCUUGUAGUCUGGCAAUUGGAAUGAGUCCAAUCUAAACCCCUUAACGAGGAACAAUUGGAGGGCAAGUCUGGUGCCAGCAGCCGCGGUAAUUCCAGCUCCAAUAGCGUAUAUUAAAGUUGUUGCAGUUAAAAAGCUCGUAGUUGGAUUUCGGGGCGGCCCGGCCGGUCCGCCGCAAGGCGAGCACUGGUCGGGCGCCCUUCCUCUCGAAGGCUUCGACUGCUCUUCGUUGUGGUGGUCGAGGAGUUCGGGACGUUUACUUUGAAAAAAUUAGAGUGUUCAAGGCAGGCCGUGGCCUGAAUACAUUAGCAUGGAAUAAUGGAAGAGGACCUCGGUCCUAUUUUGUUGGUUUCCAGGGCCGAAGUAAUGAUUGAGAGGGACAGUUGGGGGCAUUCGUAUUUAAUUGUCAGAGGUGAAAUUCUCGGAUUUAUGAAAGACGAACAAGUGCGAAAGCAUUUGCCAAGGAUGUUUUCAUUAAUCAAGAACGAAAGUUGGGGGUUCGA
rnacentral:rRNA from 1 species